rnacentral:rRNA from 1 species
GGCCAGCAUCGGAGUGGGGGGAGACAAAAAAGAAAAGGAAUGUAUCCUUUCGAGUAUUAUAGCCUAAUUCGAAUAUCUCCACCCCCUUCCGAGGCCUGCGAUUCUAUCAAGGAUCUGGCGUAAU